GAUGCACGGCCAAGUGUCUGGGCUACCUGGGAUGACUGGCUCGGGUUGGUGUCUGCCUGGUCGGAAAGGAGGAGGCGGGUGGUUGGGACGAGGCGGGCCGGCGGGAGAGGCGGCCGCUGUAGAGGGCGCGAGCGGUCCGCGACACCCGCCCCCUGACCGCGUACUCGGUCGCGGCCAGGGAGAGUGGUACUCUCCUCGUCUGGCGGUUGUUCCCGCGGCGGCACUGCCCCCCGAGGUCCGGGCGGCGGAAAAGGAGGACGGCCAGCGGCGAUGGGUGAUGGAGGGCGUCGAAGGGAGGCACAGGCGGAGGAAGGUAGCGAGGUGCGGGAGUGGUUGUGGUGCCCUCGACGGACGUCGUAGGAGCUGGGAGAGGUGCUGGACUAGCAUGGUCCAAUAGAGAGGUCCAACGACGUCAACGAUGUCAUGAUCGAUCCACAGCUUGCCCGCCAACACAACACAACAGGCCGCUCUAUCCUCGACAGAGACGACGUAAAAGGAGACUUAGACGGACACAAAGGUCGCAUCACAGCCACGUCUACAGUCGACAUCGGAGAUGUAACCAUAUCUUACCAGAUCCGUGACAAUUAGAAACACCUAUUGACACCUACGACACUUUACCACAUCGGAGAUCCAACCAUGUCUUACCACGUGUGUGUAAAUCGGCGACUUUGUAUAGGGAAGCUAGUGUUUAGACGAAACUCUAUAACCUCAAUAAGAAGUCGUCUUCUUUUUAGUAUACAAAAGGACCACACUAAUGACCAUUACCAGUAUAAGAAUCCUAUAAAACGCUAAAAACGGUUCUCUCUAUACGUACGAAACGACACGUAUGUCCUUGUGACAAAACAAUAAGAACGACAACCCCAAUACAAAGGGAUGGUGUCACAUGGUAGAAUCGUAAAACUUUAAACCUUCGCCCAACCCCACCAGACUAAAACGGUUGUCUCUACGGAGAAACACGAAAGAUUCAAAGAUAAGAUCGUUGACACUUUAUUUCACUAUACUGAGGUGUCUGAAGACUAAAUCGGGGAACCUGGUCUUAACUGAUUUACCAGGACUUAAAUUGUAAAAUUGACUUAAACGAACACGUGGAACGGAAAAGCACCAAUUUUGGUCUUUACGACGGUACAGUCGAUAUAAAAAGUCUUCGUGAGGUCAAUUCUAUGACAUUGGUCCUAUUGUGACAUAAACCGUCUAAUAAAUGAGGUAUUUGACUUCAAUACUGUCUUAGAAUCACAUCUAAAUUGUGUUAGUUUGAAUAACGUCUUAAUAUCCUCAUGUACUUUUGACUUGAAUACCGUGUCAGAGUAAAAGGAUACGAUAGGUAUACCAGAGUUCGUCGAAUCAACCCGGAAUUAAUUAUUUACCCGUACCUUCACGUUUAUGUAACGGGACAGACUUUCUAUUACUGUCAGUACCUUAAAUAUAAAGAGAAUGACUUUCUAUUACUGUCAGUACCUUAAAUAUAAAUAUGUACCAGGACUGAUUUAUGUACCUUAAAUAUAAAUAUGUACCAGGACUGAUUUAUGUACCUUAAAUAUAAGUCAGUAAGAGACUCAUAUAUUUGACUUUAUAAGUCAGUAAGAGAUUUAAAGAUAUAAAGAGCCUUUUAUAAGUCUGUUCUAACACUUAAAGCACUUGUACUAACUAAAUAUCACUUGUGAUAACUAGUACAUCUGUUAUGACUUCAUUAGACUUAUAAGACUUCAACGACCGUGACAUUAUGAGGUUCAAAGAGACUUAAAGAUAUAAAGAGACUUUUAAGAGACUCAUGAAUCUUCAUUCUUCAGUAGAUUCAAUAAUGACCAUAACUACGUUACACGAACAUAACUUGGUAGAUAGGUUCAAAUAAUGAUUGAUAUAUACACGAAGAGACGUGGAUACGAACGGUCAUAUAGAUAAACGAAAUACCUGUACUGAGAACACAAACAAAUGAACAAUGAUACUGUUAACGCUGCCCUCGCCGGCCUUAAUAGACACCGCGGCCGCGGUUUCACCCGCUUCACAGACGAGGACGCUCGCCGCCGCCACCAGCGGGGACACCGUCGCCGAAUCCACCCUCCGCCGCAACCCGGACUGCCACCUACGCGACCAGCGGAGGCACCCGUCGCCACCAGUUCGACGUGUCCACCCUCCGCCACGACCCGGACUGCCACCUACGCGACCAGCGGGGGCACCCGCCGUCACCCGCUCCACCCCGCCGCCACCAGAUCGACGCGUCCACCCCCCGCCACCAACGGAGGCACCGCUGUUACGUCCACCCGUCGCGACCGAGGUUGCCACCGACCGAUGAGCACCUGCUGCCCCCUCCUCCUUCCUUCCUAUGUCCGACUGAAACGUUGUCCAAAUUUACGUAUUCAAAAAAAAAACGUUUUUAGUUUUAAUUGAUUCGGCCACUGUAAGAAAAACCCUGCCUCCCUCAUAAACGAAGAAGAAAAAGUUGACUCACGGUAACUCUACCAGUAAAAAGUAGCCGCUACAGAACCCACCUACAAGAAUUUCCUCGUGAUAGGUUAGCCCUUACGCUACAAUAUAAACUUUAAAACUUACACCCAGCAGUUUGAAACGACUCCGUGAUCGCGGACGAGACCUACCAGGAGGUCUACCUUGAAAUUACAGAAUUAGAGUACAAAGACCGAAAGACGUAGAACAUAAAGAAGACUUUCAUAAGUACUGGACAGGGUACUCGGAGUACGUCUUUGUACCUAUCGUUUAUGUGAAGGAUAAGUUAUUUAGACCAGCUCCAUAGUUGUUCCCUAAGCGGAGACCGAUCGUACGUCUUCCAACUAGAAGGACACCUAUGGAGAGUAGACCCUCAUUUCGUGUGUUACAUCGAGGAAAUGAAACGUCUAGGACUUUCCUUGACAACUCGUUAGUCAAAACCGUAUACAUGUCAAUCUUCGACACCUGUAUGAGAAAGACAUGUUACCUGUGUUUUGCCGGACUUCGAUGUUUAAACGUAGCGACUCGGAGUCCGAUUUCAACUCUUCGUGACUUCCUACUUACCACCGUGCACUAGCGACGCAAAUUGUAUCGUGACGACAAACCGUGGAGGAAUUUUUACACUUGAGUCCAAGUUUAUAUUUAGAAACUAAACGAAAUACUUAAAUGGGCAAGUCAAUGUGAACGGCCUUGUAUAUAUGGUAUAUGGGUU
rnacentral:rRNA from 1 species